UCACUCUGGAAAGCAGGGCACGCCUCGGGAGCGACGCAGCCUCCGGGACACGGUCCUCACCGACGGUGAAAGCCGCCCCUCACCGGGCGGUGAAGCUCUCAGGUCCGAUGACAGAGGGGGA
rnacentral:ncRNA from 2 species